rnacentral:rRNA from 1 species
AACGCUGGCGGCGUGCCUAAUACAUGCAAGUCGAACGAGUUCUGAUUAUUGAAAGGUGCUUGCAUCUUGAUUUUAAUUUUGAACGAGUGGCGGACGGGUGAGUAACACGUGGGUAACCUGCCCUUAAGUGGGGGAUAACAUUUGGAAACAGAUGCUAAUACCGCAUAAAUCCAAGAACCGCAUGGUUCUUGGCUGAAAGAUGGCGUAAGCUAUCGCUUUUGGAUGGACCCGCGGCGUAUUAGCUAGUUGGUGAGGUAACGGCUCACCAAGGCAAUGAUACGUAGCCGAACUGAGAGGUUGAUCGGCCACAUUGGGACUGAGACACGGCCCAAACUCCUACGGGAGGCAGCAGUAGGGAAUCUUCCACAAUGGACGCAAGUCUGAUGGAGCAACGCCGCGUGAGUGAAGAAGGCUUUCGGGUCGUAAAACUCUGUUGUUGGAGAAGAAUGGUCGGCAGAGUAACUGUUGUCGGCGUGACGGUAUCCAACCAGAAAGCCACGGCUAACUACGUGCCAGCAGCCGCGGUAAUACGUAGGUGGCAAGCGUUAUCCGGAUUUAUUGGGCGUAAAGCGAGCGCAGGCGGUUUUUUAAGUCUGAUGUGAAAGCCCUCGGCUUAACCGAGGAAGUGCAUCGGAAACUGGGAAACUUGAGUGCAGAAGAGGACAGUGGAACUCCAUGUGUAGCGGUGAAAUGCGUAGAUAUAUGGAAGAACACCAGUGGCGAAGGCGGCUGUCUGGUCUGUAACUGACGCUGAGGCUCGAAAGCAUGGGUAGCGAACAGGAUUAGAUACCCUGGUAGUCCAUGCCGUAAACGAUGAAUGCUAGGUGUUGGAGGGUUUCCGCCCUUCAGUGCCGCAGCUAACGCAUUAAGCAUUCCGCCUGGGGAGUACGACCGCAAGGUUGAAACUCAAAGGAAUUGACGGGGGCCCGCACAAGCGGUGGAGCAUGUGGUUUAAUUCGAAGCAACGCGAAGAACCUUACCAGGUCUUGACAUCUUUUGAUCACCUGAGAGAUCAGGUUUCCCCUUCGGGGGCAAAAUGACAGGUGGUGCAUGGUUGUCGUCAGCUCGUGUCGUGAGAUGUUGGGUUAAGUCCCGCAACGAGCGCAACCCUUAUGACUAGUUGCCAGCAUUUAGUUGGGCACUCUAGUAAGACUGCCGGUGACAAACCGGAGGAAGGUGGGGAUGACGUCAAAUCAUCAUGCCCCUUAUGACCUGGGCUACACACGUGCUACAAUGGAUGGUACAACGAGUUGCGAGACCGCGAGGUCAAGCUAAUCUCUUAAAGCCAUUCUCAGUUCGGACUGUAGGCUGCAACUUGCCUACACGAAGUCGGAAUCGCUAGUAAUCGCGGAUCAGCACGCCGCGGUGAAUACGUUCCCGGGCCUUGUACACACCGCCCGUCACACCAUGAGAGUUUGUAACACCCGAAGCCGGUGGCGUAACCCUUUUAGGGAGCGAGCCGUCUAAGGUGGGACAAAUGAU